UCACCACACCAAAAGCUUUUUCAGAUGCAUCGCAGAAUCCAUGAAGAUCAAUAAUGAUGGGCUUCAGGUAUAAGAAUGAAUCUAGGAAUUUGUAAUUUAUUAAUGUCUGGUAGCUGCUUUAGAAAUUUUAACCAGACUUUUAACUCACUUGAUGGAAUGGGAUUGUCCCAAUUGAGUUUAUUUUUCCACAUUUCUUGAAGAAAUAUUUUGGCCUUGGUAAUAACUGGACCGACAAGACCCAAUGGGUCGAAGAGUCGAUAGAUGGUUGAAAGGACUUCACCCUUUGUAAAAUUCUUGGACAACUGUUCAGAUACCUUAAAAUUAAAACAAUCUGAUGAAGGUCGCCAUAAUAAACCAAGAGUCUUAACUGUAGGUUGGUCUGAUGAGAUUAUGUAUUCCUCGGUUUUACUGUCAUUUAACAAGUUUGGAUUAUUCAAAACCCAUUUAUGUAAUUCCUUAGCUCCUGCAGCUAAGAUGUUUUGGUAACUCAAUCUGCAAUUUUUUGCUUCUUCUAAGUUAUUAGAUCCAUAUAAAAUGUCAUCAACGUAAUGUGUCAUUAAUUAGUACCUUCAAUGCCUGAGGAAAUUUCCCUUGUUCAUCCUCCGCUAAUGCUCGCAGUGUUCUAGUUGCUAAAAAUGGAGCACAUGAGAUGUUUCAUAAGUUACUGUUUUCAAUCUGUAUGUCUCGGAGAGCAAACAUACUCAAUUUCCACAAUAUCCAUUGUAAAUCUCUAUCAACUCCAUCCAAUAGUAUCUGACGAUACAUUUUCUUGAUGUCUGCACUAAAUGCGUAGAAUAAUUUUAUUCUUCUCCUAAGUAUAUACAGAAAAUGCCGCUAGAGGGCUAAGGUGUGUACAUGUAGCUAAUGAUGUAACACUCUUUAUAUUUUUCUUUUUUAGAUCAUAAUUUCCUCUAUCAUUUGAAAUUAAUUUCAUAUAGAAAUCAGCUAUUUUUCUGUAUGAGGAUAAAAACCAAAUCUUGGAAAGAUUUUAAAAUUCUCGAUUAGAAGUUUUAUUGUCUGUUGAGGUAUAUGUGGUUUCAAAAAUUUUAAAGCAAAUAAAAGGGGAAGUAUGUAAUUAUGUUGUUUUAUGUCACUAAUUUUGUUCCACUUAUCAUCUGUGUCACAAUAAAUAGAUCUUUCUCUGUGAUAUAUUAGUGGUUUAAUUUCUUAUUUAAAAAAUUUUAAUAUGUAUUUUACUUAAGUAUGUACUUUAUUUUAAGGGAGAAUCAAAUGUUUCCACCGGUGAACAAAUAAAUGUGAAUGGCAGCACAAAUAAUAUGCCUAUUAAAAGAACAUCAGAUUUUUCAGCAACUCCAAGUAAAAAGAUCUGUGUGGAAUCAUCUGGAUCAUUUAAAGAGAAUAAAAUUGGAUUGAAGGAUGCAUUUAAAUGGAGUGAAGCCAUAGAGAGAAUAUUACAAAAUAGUUCUGAAAAAGCUAUGCCUCUU